GAUGAACGCUGGCGGCGUGCUUAACACAUGCAAGUCGAACGGAAAGGCCCAAGCUUGCUUGGGUACUCGAGUGGCGAACGGGUGAGUAACACGUGGGUGAUCUGCCCUGCACUUCGGGAUAAGCCUGGGAAACUGGGUCUAAUACCAGAUAGGACCACAUUUUGGAUGGUGUGGUGGAAAGUUUUUCGGUGUGGGAUGAGCUCGCGGCCUAUCAGCUUGUUGGUGGGGUAAUGGCCUACCAAGGCGUCGACGGGUAGCCGGCCUGAGAGGGUGUACGGCCACAUUGGGACUGAGAUACGGCCCAGACUCCUACGGGGGGCAGCAGUGGGGAAUAUUGCACAAUGGGCGCAAGCCUGAUGCAGCGAGGCCGCGUGGGGGAUGACGGCCUUCGGGUUGUAAACUCCUUUCGCUAGGGACGAAGCGUUUUUGUGACGGUACCUGGAGAAGAAGCACCGGCUAACUACGUG
rnacentral:rRNA from 1 species